rnacentral:rRNA from 1 species
GACGAACGCUGGCGGCGUGCUUAACACAUGCAAGUCGAACGGAAAGGCCCUGCUUUUGUGGGGUGCUCGAGUGGCGAACGGGUGAGUAACACGUGAGUAACCUGCCCUUGACUUUGGGAUGACUUCAGGAAACUGGGGCUAAUACCGGAUAGGAGCUCCUGCUGCAUGGUGGGGGUUGGAAAGUUUCGGCGGUUGGGGAUGGACUCGCGGCUUAUCAGCUUGUUGGUGGGGUAGUGGCUUACCAAGGCUUUGACGGGUAGCCGGCCUGAGAGGGUGACCGGCCACAUUGGGACUGAGAUACGGCCCAGACUCCUACGGGAGGCAGCAGUGGGGAAUAUUGCACAAUGGGCGGAAGCCUGAUGCAGCAACGCCGCGUGCGGGAUGACGGCCUUCGGGUUGUAAGCCGCUUUCGCCUGUGACGAAGCGUGAGUGACGGUAAUGGGUAAAGAAGCACCGGCUAACUACGUGCCAGCAGCCGCGGUGAUACGUAGGGUGCGAGCGUUGUCCGGAUUUAUUGGGCGUAAAGGGCUCGUAGGUGGUUGAUCGCGUCGGAAGUGUAAUCUUGGGGCUUAACCCUGAGCGUGCUUUCGAUACGGGUUGACUUGAGGAAGGUAGGGGAGAAUGGAAUUCCUGGUGGAGCGGUGGAAUGCGCAGAUAUCAGGAGGAACACCAGUGGCGAAGGCGGUUCUCUGGGCCUUUCCUGACGCUGAGGAGCGAAAGCGUGGGGAGCGAACAGGCUUAGAUACCCUGGUAGUCCACGCUGUAAACGGUGGGUACUAGGUGUGGGGUCCAUUCCACGGGUUCCGUGCCGUAGCUAACGCUUUAAGUACCCCGCCUGGGGAGUACGGCCGCAAGGCUAAAACUCAAAGGAAUUGACGGGGCCCCGCACAAGCGGCGGAGCAUGCGGAUUAAUUCGAUGCAACGCGUAGAACCUUACCUGGGUUUGACAUGGAUCGGGAGCGCUCAGAGAUGGGUGUGCCUCUUUUGGGGUCGGUUCACAGGUGGUGCAUGGCUGUCGUCAGCUCGUGUCGUGAGAUGUUGGGUUAAGUCCCGCGACGAGCGCAACCCUUGUUCACUGUUGCCAGCACGUUAUGGUGGGGACUCAGUGGAGACCGCCGGGGUCAACUCGGAGGAAGGUGGGGAUGACGUCAAGUCAUCAUGCCCCUUAUGUCCAGGGCUUCACGCAUGCUACAAUGGCUGGUACAGAGAGUGGCGAGCCUGUGAGGGUGAGCGAAUCUCGGAAAGCCGGUCUCAGUUCGGAUUGGGGUCUGCAACUCGACCUCAUGAAGUCGGAGUCGCUAGUAAUCGCAGAUCAGCAACGCUGCGGUGAAUACGUUCCCGGGGCU